rnacentral:rRNA from 1 species
GCCCGCUACAGAAACUUAAAGGAAGUUGACGGGGCCCGCACAAGCGGUGGAGUAUGUGGUUUAAUUCGAUGCAACGCGAAGAACCUUACCUGGUCUUGACAUCCCGGAGACCCUUAGGAAACUAGGGGGUGCUUCCAUCUGGAAGAAUCUGGAGACAGGUGCUGCAUGGCUGUCGUCAGCUCGUGUCGUGAGAUGUUGGGUUAAGUCCCGCAACGAGCGCAACCCUUGCCUUUAGUUGCCAGCAGUUCGGCUGGGCACUCUAAAGGGACUGCCGGUGUUAAACCGGAGGAAGGUGGGGAUGACGUCGAGUCCUCAUGGCCUUUAUGACCAGGGCUACACACGUACUACAAUGGCCGAUACAAAGGGCAGCGACACUGCGAGGUGAAGCCAAUCCCGUAAAAUCGGUCUCAGUCCGGAUUGGAGUCUGCAACUCGACUCCAUGAAGUUGGAAUCGCUAGUAAUCGUGGAUCAGCAUGCCACGGUGAAUACGUUCCCGGGCCUU